rnacentral:rRNA from 1 species
AGGGCACACGGGGGAUGCCUUGGCUCUGAGAGGCGAAGAAGGACGUGAUAAGCUGCGAUAAGCAACGGGGAGGAGCAAAUAUCUGUUAAUCCGUUGAUUUCCGAAUGGGGAAACCCGGUAUGUUGAAGACAUAUCACCAGUAAUGGGGCUAACGCGCUGAACUGAAACAUCUAAGUAGGCGCAGGAAAAGAAAACAAUAGUGAUUUCCGUAGUAGUGGCGAGCGAAGUGGAAAUAGCCCAAACCAAGUCAGUUUCGGCUGAUUUGGGGUUGUAGGACUGCAACAUUUGUGCAAAGAGUUAGUGGAAUGUGUUGGAAAGCACAGCGAUAUGGGUGAUAGCCCCGUACACGAAAGCUGUUUGUAUGAUAGCAGUAUCCUGAGUAGGGCGGGACAUGUGAAAUCCUGUCUGAAUCUGCCGGAACCAUCCGGUAAGGCUAAAUACUCCUCAGAGACCGAUAGCGAACUAGUACUGUGAAGGAAAGGUGAAAAGAACCCUGAAUAAGGGAGUGAAAAAGAUCCUGAAACCGUGUGUCUACAAGCGGUCGAAGCCUUAGGGCGACGGCGUGCCUUUUGCAUAAUGAUCCUACGAGUUACUCCUCAUUGGCAAGGUUAAGGUUUUAAGAACCGGAGCCGAAGCGAAAGCGAGUCUUAAUAGGGCGCGAUAGUCAGUGGGGGUAGACGCGAAACCUUGUGAUCUACCCAUGGCCAGGUUGAAGUUCCGGUAACACGGAAUGGAGGACCGAACCGAUAAGCGUUGAAAAGCUUCCGGAUGAGCUGUGGGUAGGGGUGAAAGGCCAAUCAAACUGGGAAAUAGCUCGUACUCCCCGAAAUGCAUUUAGGUGCAGCGUUCAGGUUGAGUCUUAUAGAGGUAGAGCUACUGAUUGGACUAGGGGGCUUCACCGCCUACCAAAUCCUGACAAACUCCGAAUGCUAUAAGAUAUACUGAGCAGUGAGGGCAUGGGUGCUAAGGUCCGUGUCCGAGAGGGAAAGAACCCAGAUCAUCAGCUAAGGUCCCAAAAUAUACACUAAGUUGAUCAAACGUUGUGCGGUUGCAUAGACAGCUAGGAUGUUGGCUUGGAAGCAGCCAUUCAUUUAAAGAGUGCGUAACAGCUCACUAGUCGAGCGAUCGUGCGUGGAUAAUAAACGGGCAUUAAGUGUAUUACCGAAGCUAUGGAUUUCAGCUUAUGCUGAUCUGGUAGGGGAGCAUUCUAUUCAGCGUUGAAGGUGCAUGGUGAUGUGUGCUGGAGCGGAUAGAAAAGCAAAUGUAGGAAUAAGUAACGAUAAUGCAGGCGAGAAACCUGCACACCGAUAGACUAAGGUUUCCUGAGCGACGCUAAUCGGCUCAGGGUUAGUCGGGACCUAACGCGAACCCGAAGGGGGUAGUGGAUGGAUAACUGGUUAAUAUUCCAGUACUUGUUAUAACUGCGAUGGGGUGACGGAUUGAUGAAAGUACCGCGCACUGACGGAAUAGUGCGUUAAAGGAUGUAGGUAUAAGGACUGUAGGCAAAUCCGCAGACCUUGCCGAAUCUGAUAGUACCGAGAGGCUUCGGCCAAUUGGAUAGUGUACCUAAGGGAUUCCAAGAAAAACCUCUAAGCUUCAGGUUAUAACAACUCGUACCGCAAACCGACACAGGUAGUCAAGGAGAGAAUCCUGAGGUGCUCGAGUGAUUCAUGGCUAAGGAACUAGGCAAAAUGGUCUCGUAACUUCGGGAGAAGAGACGCCAGCGCAAGCUGGCCGCAGUGAAUAGGCCCAGGCGACUGUUUAUCAAAAACACAUGGCUUUGCAAAAUCGAAAGAUGAAGUAUAAGGCCUGACACCUGCCCGGUGCUGGAAGGUUAAGUGGAGAUGUUAUUUUCGGAGAAGCAUUGAAAUGAAGCCCCAGUAAACGGCGGCCGUAACUAUAACGGUCCUAAGGUAGCGAAAUUCCUUGUCGGGUAAGUUCCGACCUGCACGAAUGGUGUAACGAUCUGGGCACUGUCUCAGCCAUGAGCUCGGUGAAAUUGUAGUAUCGGUGAAGAUGCCGAUUACCCGCAACGGGACGGAAAGACCCCGUGAACCUUUACUAUAGCUUCACAUUGAUAUUGGGUAAUUCAUGUGUAGGAUAGGUGGAGAUGUUAUUUUCGGAGAAGCAUUGAAAUGAGGCCCCGGUAAACGGCGGCCGUAACUAUAACGGUCCUAAGGUAGCGAAAUUCCUUGUCGGGUAAGUUCCGACCUGCACGAAUGGUGUAACGAUCUGGGCACUGUCUCAGCCAUGAGCUCGGUGAAAUUGUAGU